rnacentral:rRNA from 1 species
GCCAGACGCCUGAAGAGGCGAAGAUAUAGUCCGAGCUUCCGGGCGACCGGAAGAGGCAGGCAGAAAUGACCUGCCCCAUCCGAACCUGGAGGAGUAACAACUCUGUCGGUCCCUAUCCACUGUGUGCGCAGGUGACUUGAGGGGAGCUGCUCCUAGUACGAGAGGACCGGAGUGGACGGACCUCUGGUGUACCGGUUGUCCUGCCAAGGGCACGUGCCGGGUAGCCAUGUCCGGACGGGAUAAGCGCUGAAAGCAUCUAAGCGCGAAGCCCACCCCAAGAUGAGGUCACCCACCGGGUAACCGGGUAAGUCCCCUGGGAGACUACCAGGUUGAUAGGCCGCAGGUGCAAGGCCGCAAGGCUCAGCCUAGCGGUACUAAUAGGACGAGGGCUUGAUCCU